AGCAGCCGCGGUAAUUCCAGCUCCAAUAGCGUAUAUUAAAGUUGUUGCAGUUAAAAGCUCGUAGUUGAAUUUCGGGAUUGGCGCAUCGGUCGUGCCUCACGGGGUAUGAACUGGUGCAGUCAAUUUCUCACCUUCUGGAGAACCGCGAUGUCCUUAAUUGGAUGCCGCGGGGAACCAGGGACCUUUACUUUGAAAAAUUAGAGUGUUUAAAGCAGGCAUUUUUGCUUGAAUACAUUAGCAUGGAAUAAUAAAAUUAGGACGGCAAUGGUUCUAUUUUGUUGGUUUCUAGGACCACCGUAAUGAUUAAUAGGGAUAGUUGGGGGCAUUAGGUAUUCAAUU
rnacentral:rRNA from 1 species